rnacentral:SRP_RNA from 1 species
GCCGGGCACGGUGGCUUAUGCCUGUAAUCCCAGCACUUUGGGAGGCCGAGGUGGGAGGAUCACCUGAGGUCAGGAGUUCAAGACCAGCCUGGCCAACAUGGUGAAACCCCAUCUCUA